AUAUAAGUGCAUCAACUGGAAAGUCUACAAUUAAGUAUUUCAAGGACAAGAUUCAGGAACUUGGUUUAUAUGAGAUGAACAACUUUGUUGUAGCCACAAAUUACAUAACUUUCACCACUUCGACACACAAACACAGGCUGAUAUUUACACGAAAUACAAUUGUGACAGAAAUACCCGAUUCAUUAUUCCAUAUGAAUAUCUUUAAUUUGCGCACUUUUGAUCAAUUGACAACUCAACAUAAUGUGGAUGAGGCUGUACUAUUCGAUGUUAUUGGGCAGGUUGUCACUUAUGGACCAAUUCAAAUAGACGAAAAAGGAGAGAACACCCGUUAUUAUAUGAAAGUUGUAUUAGAAGAUGAUAAAUCAAAUCCAACCUCAUCUAUGUGGAUCUACAAAUGAACCAUUGAUUAUUGUUUUGCAAUUAGUGAAGGCUUACAAAUUUAGAGAAAACUACUAUGUUCAUAGUUGUCAUUGGCAAUCCAAACUUUGGAUAAAUCUUAAUCUACCUCAGCCUACUGAUUUUCAAA